rnacentral:rRNA from 1 species
GUGAGGAAUUUUCUGCAAUGGGCGAAAGCCUGACGGAGCAAUGCCGCGUGAAGGAUGAAGGCCUAUGGGUUGUAAACUUCUUUUCUCAGAAAAGAAUUAUGACGGUAUCUGAGGAAUAAGCAUCGGCUAACUCUGUGCCAGCAGCCGCGGUAAGACAGAGGAUGCAAGCGUUAUCCGGAAUGAUUGGGCGUAAAGCGUCUGUAGGUUGUUUAAAAAGUAUUCUGUCAAAGAUUAGGGCUUAACCCUAGAUAGGCAGAAUAAACUUUUAAGCUAGAGUUUGGUAGAGGCAGAGGGAAUUCCCGGUGGAGCGGUGAAAUGCGUAGAUAUCGGGAGGAACACCAAAGGCGAAGGCACUCUGCUGGGCCAAUACUAACACUGAGAGACGAAAGCGAGGGGAGCAAAUGGGAUUAGAAACCCGAGUAGUCC